AGCAGCCGCGGUAAUUCCAGCUCCAAUAGCGUAUAUUAAAGUUGUUGCAGUUAAAAAGCUCGUAGUUGAAUUUCGGGAUCAAUUUAUUGGUCGUGCUAUUGUACGUACUGGUAUUAUUGAUUCCUACCUUCUGACGAACCAUGAUGUCAUUAAUUUGGUGUCUUGGGGAAUCAGGACUGUUACUUUGAAAAAAUUAGAGUGUUUAAAGCAGGCUCACGCUUGAAUACAUUAGCAUGGAAUAACGAAAUAGGACGUUUGAUUCUAUUUUGUUGGUUUCUAGGAUCGACGUAAUGAUUAAUAGGGAUAGUUGGGGGCAUUAGUAUUCAAUUGUCAGAGGUGAAAUUCUUGGAUUUAUUGAAGACUAACUACUGCGAAAGCAUUUGCCAAGGAUGUUUUCAUUAAUCAAGAACGAAAGUUAGGGGAUCGAAGACGAUCAGAUACCGUCGUAGUCUUAACCAUAAACUAUGCCGACUAGGGAUCGGAUGAUGUUAAUUUUUAAUGACUCAU
rnacentral:rRNA from 1 species